rnacentral:rRNA from 1 species
AUUAGCUAGUUGGUGAGGUAACGGCUCACCAAGGCAACGAUGAUUAGCUGGUCUGAGAGGAAGGUCAGCCACACUGGAACUGAGACACGGUCCAGACUCCUACGGGAGGCAGCAGUGGGGAAUUUUGCGCAAUGGGCGAAAGCCUGACGCAGCAACGCCGCGUGAGUGAUGAAGGUUUUCGGAUCGUAAAGCUCUGUCAGAGGGGAAGAACCACCCGGGUGCUAAUAUCGCUCGGGCCUGACGGUACCCUCAAAGGAAGCACCGGCUAACUCCGUGCCAGCCGCCGCGGUAAUAC